rnacentral:rRNA from 1 species
CCUACGGGAGGCAGCAGUGGGGAAUAUUGGACAAUGGGCGAAAGCCUGAUCCAGCAAUGCCGCGUGAGUGAUGAAGGCCUUAGGGUUGUAAAGCUCUUUUACCAGGGAUGAUAAUGACAGUACCUGGAGAAUAAGCUCCGGCUAACUUCGUGCCAGCAGCCGCGGUAAU